GAUAAACGCUGGCGGCGUGCCUAAUACAUGCAAGUCGAGCGAACGGACGAGAAGCUUGCUUCUCUGAUGUUAGCGGCGGACGGGUGAGUAACACGUGGAUAACCUACCUAUAAGACUGGGAUAACUUCGGGAAACCGGAGCUAAUACCGGAUAAUAUUUUGAACCGCAUGGUUCAAAAGUGAAAGACGGUCUUGCUGUCACUUAUAGAUGGAUCCGCGCUGCAUUAGCUAGUUGGUAAGGUAACGGCUUACCAAGGCAACGAUGCAUAGCCGACCUGAGAGGGUGAUCGGCCACACUGGAACUGAGACACGGUCCAGACUCCUACGGGAGGCAGCAGUAGGGAAUCUUCCGCAAUGGGCGAAAGCCUGACGGAGCAACGCCGCGUGGGUGAUGAAGGUCUUCGGAUCGUAAAACUCUGUUAUUAGGGAAGAACAUAUGUGUAAGUAACUGUGCACAUCUUGACGGUACCUAAUCAGAAAGCCACGGCUAACUACGUGCCAGCAGCCGCGGUAAUACGUAGGUGGCAAGCGUUAUCCGGAACUAUUGGGCGUAAAGCGCGCGUAGGCGGUUUUUUAAGUCUGAUGUGAAAGCCCACGGCUCAACCGUGGAGGGUCAUUGGAAACUGGAAAACUUGAGUGCAGAAGAGGAAAGUGGAAUUCCAUGUGUAGCGGUGAAAUGCGCAGAGAUAUGGAGGAACACCAGUGGCGAAGGCGACUUUCUGGUCUGUAACUGACGCUGAUGUGCGAAAGCGUGGGGAUCAAACAGGAUUAGAUACCCUGGUAGUCCACGCCGUAAACGAUGAGUGCUAAGUGUUAGGGGGUUUCCGCCCCUUAGUGCUGCAGCUAACGCAUUAAGCACUCCGCCUGGGGAGUACGACCGCAAGGUUGAAACUCAAAGGAAUUGACGGGGACCCGCACAAGCGGUGGAGCAUGUGGUUUAAUUCGAAGCAACGCGAAGAACCUUACCAAAUCUUGACAUCCUUUGACAACUCUAGAGAUAGAGCCUUCCCCUUCGGGGGACAAAGUGACAGGUGGUGCAUGGUUGUCGUCAGCUCGUGUCGUGAGAUGUUGGGUUAAGUCCCGCAACGAGCGCAACCCUUAAGCUUAGUUGCCAUCAUUAAGUUGGGCACUCUAAGUUGACUGCCGGUGACAAACCGGAGGAAGGUGGGGAUGACGUCAAAUCAUCAUGCCCCUUAUGAUUUGGGCUACACACGUGCUACAAUGGACAAUACAAAGGGCAGCGAAACCGCGAGGUCAAGCAAAUCCCAUAAAGUUGUUCUCAGUUCGGAUUGUAGUCUGCAACUCGACUACAUGAAGCUGGAAUCGCUAGUAAUCGUAGAUCAGCAUGCUACGGUGAAUACGUUCCCGGGUCU
rnacentral:rRNA from 1 species